AGUGUUAAUCAAAACAACGAAAAUGGCGAUGUAAAUACGGUGAUAUAAUGUCAAAUCAAUGUGCCAAAUGAAUUUUCAGCCGUUCUUUUUUUCUUAAAUUCCCCAAAACCUACAGUAAAGAUUGUCUGAAUCAUGCUGGAUCUUGAGGUUGUUCCUGAACGCUCCCUUGGCAACGGAGAAUGGGAAUUUGUUCUUGGAAUGCCCGUAUCGCAGUGUGUUCAAAUAUUAAAAAGACAAUGUACAGUGAUAAAGUCUGUACAAGUUAUCUAUAGUGAAGCGAAUCCACUGGCAGUAGAUCUCAUCCUUAAACUUCCAGAUGAUGGCAUUUGUUUAAAGUUUGAUUCAUCAGAUCAAAGACUCAAGAUCAUUGAAGUUUAUCACAUGAAGAAAGUCAAACUGAAAUAUUGUGGUGGGCAUUUCAACUCACCUCACCUUGAGCCCACAAUCGAUCAGAUCGACCAAUCAUUUGGGGCCACACAUCCUGGAGUUUAUGAUUCAAGUCAUCAGUUGUUCGAGUUAACUUUCAGAGGAGUCUCGUUUACCUUUCCAAUUGACUCAAAAUUUGAGCCUGACUUUGUUCAUGGUCUUGGUUCACUUCGGUUUUCUUCUGGACCUGGAGCACCAGUCGUUUCAAAGAUGAGCAUCUAUAGUGGAAACAGCUUGACCAACAAAACCAAAGCCCCUCCAAUGCCGAUUCAAUGUUUCUAUGGUAACUGCUAUGCAGAAUCUGUUCAAGUUUUGAGGGCAUCGGGAAAAGUAACAGGUCUUCUGUUUAAACUCGUGGGAGAAGGAAACAGUUUCGGUACAUUACCAGACCUGAAUAAAAAGGUCGUUGAAAGAACGGUUUCAUUUGGAGACACAUGUCAAGAUGUCAUGACGUGUUUUGGUUCACCUUGUAAAGUAUUUUAUAAAGCUGAAGAUAAGAUGCGUAUCCAUUCUCCCUAUACAUACAAACUUGAUCAAUCAAAUAGCUCCGACUAUUUCUUCAACUACUUUACACUUGGUGUGGACAUUUUAUUCGAUGCGUCAUCUCAUAAAGUAAAGAAAAUGAUUUUACACACAAACUUUCCUGGUCAUUACAAUUUCAACAUGUACCAUCGCUGUCAGUUUGUCAUCAACAUUACUCGUCCUCAAAAGAGUGAACUUGUUGAUUUAGGACAAGAAGAACAGUUUGAAAUCAAUCCCUGUACCAAGUGGGAUUGUGUACAAAACUUUUUGGGAAAAACAGUAGAAGCACCAGUUGUUGUAAACAGAUCUUCGACAACGAACACCUCGAAUCCUUUUGGCUCAACUUUCUGUUAUUGUCUUCAACAUAUGAUCUUUGAGAUUAUGCAGAACAACCCUAUUGCAUCCGUUACAUUGUAUCAAGACAAAUCUUAGAUGAUUCGUUGCUGUAUGAGUUUGAAGCUUUCUCAAAUGUUUUAGAGAAUCGUUAACAAGAACAACAAGACUUAAAGAUAAGUAGAUAAGUUUACGUUACGAAAGAAAACAAAUGCGGAAAAAUGGCAAGAAUAUAAAAUAGUUCUUGAUUAUUGAACAGUUAUUCAUACAGUUCAACGUCCUUGACAGAUGGCUUUUAUUAGCUAUCUCUCAUGGCUCAAAGCUUCUUUGUUUCUUCUCGGGCGUUAUUUUGGCGCGACUUGCAUGUUAUCAAAUUUGUUUCCUUGCGGUUUUUCUGAAUCCACUCAUGGAUUAUUAGAUACAUAGAAUAUGCUUUAGCAUGGCGACUUUGCAUUAAGAAAAAUAAAUAUUUAUUCAAGAUGUAUAUCCAGUCGUUGACUGUUGGUGCUCGUAUUGACUGACGUUUCGACAUUCUUUGCGGUAGUCACUUUUAGAAAACUUGUCGAUUUGCAUAAGUGAUAUAUUUAUUUCAUAGUUGCUAUAGUCUUUGUGUCUCAUUUUUGUUUCACUUUCAUUGUCGAUAAUCAUUGUCGUUUGAUGCAAAA